UACAGAGGGUGCGAGCGUUAAUCGGAAUUACUGGGCGUAAAGCGUGCGCAGGCGGUUAUGUAAGACAGUUGUGAAAUCCCCGGGCUCAACCUGGGAAUUGCAUCUGUGACUGCAUAGCUAGAGUACGGUAGAGGGGGAUGGAAUUCCGCGUGUAGCAGUGAAAUGCGUAGAUAUGCGGAGGAACACCGAUGGCGAAGGCAAUCCCCUGGACCUGUACUGACGCUCAUGCACGAAAGCGUGGGGAGCAAACAGG
rnacentral:rRNA from 1 species